AUUGAACGCUGGCGGCAUGCUUUACACAUGCAAGUCGAACGGCAGCGCGGGGCAACCUGGCGGCGAGUGGCGAACGGGUGAGUAAUAUAUCGGAACGUACCCAGAAGUGGGGGAUAACGUAGCGAAAGUUACGCUAAUACCGCAUACGAUCUACGGACGAAAGUGGGGGGACCUUCGGGCCUCAUGCUUUUGGAGCGGCCGAUAUCUGAUUAGCUAGUUGGUGAGGUAAAGGCUCACCAAGGCGACGAUCAGUAGCUGGUCUGAGAGGACGACCAGCCACACUGGGACUGAGACACGGCCCAGACUCCUACGGGAGGCAGCAGUGGGGAAUUUUGGACAAUGGGGGCAACCCUGAUCCAGCAAUGCCGCGUGAGUGAAGAAGGCCUC
rnacentral:rRNA from 1 species